UGCUUGGAUCUGUGAACGCAGAGACUCAACGACGGAUUUUACUCUGAGGGUUUGAGAGCGGUCCACUGAUGCUGCAUUCUCACUCCUCACCCUCAAUUCGUUGCAGUCUGCGGUCUACUUAACAUGCCUUUCACUAUACCAGCCAGCGGCCUCAGCCUCUCAGUUAGACCAUCUCCCGAAUACGAAGCAAGGCCUACACUGUAUUGUACCUAAGCUCAAGCUCCCUGGCACCACCAACUUCUUUCAACGGUCGACAUGUCUGCAUCGAAAAAAACUAACCCUACCUGUACCUAUUUUUACACCUUCCAUCCCUCGAAUCCGGGGGAGAGCAAAAGCCACACUACAAUUAGAUGAUAUUGUGAUAAGAGGGCUAGGAUGAAUUUGUGCUAUGCGAUUUUACGAGCUGACCCUGUCAGGAUGAAAUAACUAAAUAUAUAAUCUAUCAUUAUCCUCGGCUUGAAGAUACCAAGAAAAGCGCUGUCAUGGUGUAGCUUGCAAACGAAACAUACUCCAGGGAAGCAGGUUGCACCACACUUGAGCUGGGUAUCGUCGGCAUCGGAGGAUGAAGCCCCAAAGUCUCAUCGUUUCUGGACAGGGCAUGGGGAUGUGGUUUCAAAAUUGGAUAGUUAAACAUGUUUCGGACCAGAACCGUACAUGAUUUCAAUUCCCGGGUUGCAAAAAAAAAAAUAAAAAAAUAAAAUAAAAAAAUAAAAAAAAAAAGCCCAAAACAAAAACAAAAAACAAAAAACUACUCAGCGUUCUCAAAUGCUUGGACCACAUAUGUCAUAUCUCCCCAUCCAAUGGUGGUGGAUUUUUCGUAUUUCUCCGGCUCUUAGCUCUCAAGCUAAUCCUUCCUGGGGAAAAGCCCGAACUGUGAGAAUUUUUCCAUCUAGGGUUUGAAAGGGAAAAAGUUGGUGCAUGGGUUGAGAGAAAUGGCGACAGACGCGCAUAGCUGAUUACAUAGAGUCAUGCAUUUUUGAUAUUUAUUUAACCAUUGUCCGCAUACAUAGUGCGUGACGAUAGUGGUGUAUGAUGAUGUAGAGUCUGAAGAAAUAAAAUAAAGCUAGCUAUUUUGGGGGGGAAAAACAUGAAAUUGUAUAUAUGGCAAACGAACAAAAACUUAAGAAGCU
rnacentral:sRNA from 2 species